AAAUAAACAAUUAAUUUCCCCAUAGGCGACAAUGGUAGCCUUUUUCGAGAUACAGACUUUAGAAAGUUGAUUUUCUUAACGCAACCUUGCUAGAAUCAAAGAAAAGUUAUUAGGACAGUAUUUUUUGGUCCAAAAAAUAUAGGUUCGCGUUGCUUUUCUUAGCGUAUUUUGUACUUAUCUCCCAUGCCUAUCAAUUUUGCCCUUAAAAAUACGUGUCUUGUCCUAGCAUUGAAAAGUCAUCUCAGUGCCUUUAGGGCUACGGAAUAAUUUUUAUUUUGCCUUUUGUAUAAAACAGAGUGCAUGAAGUCUCUAAUAAUAAAAAAUAACGGGCGCACAUAUCGACCAAUCAGGAUUAGCCAUACUCUUAAUUCUGAAUACCAUGUUGCGCCCAUAAAAUCUAAUGGUGUAUUGUAACCUAUA
rnacentral:lncRNA from 1 species